UACGUAGGGGCCUAGCGUUGUCCGGAUUUAUUGGGCGUAAAGAGCUCGUAGGCGGUCUGUUGCGUCCGCUGUGAAAACUCGGGGCUUAACCCCGAGCCUGCAGUGGAUACGGGCAGACUAGAGGUAGGUAGGGGAGCGUGGAAUUCCCAGUGUAGAGGUGAAAUUCGUAGAUAUUGGGAAGAACACCGGUGGCGAAGGCGGCGCUCUGGACCGAGACUGACGCUGAGGCGCGAAAGCGUGGGGAGCAAACAGG
rnacentral:rRNA from 1 species